rnacentral:rRNA from 1 species
CCUACGGGCGGCAGCAGUGAGGAAUAUUGGUCAAUGGCCGGAAGGCUGAACCAGCCAUGCCGCGUGAAGGUCAGUGCCCUAUGGGCGUUAAACUUCUUUUGUGCGGGAGCAAUAAUGGUCACGUGUGGCCAGACGAGAGUACCGUACGAGUAAGCAUCGCCUAACUCCGUGCCAGCAGCCGCGGUAAUACGGGGGAUGCGGGCGUUAUCCGGAUUUAUUGGGGUUAAAGGGUGCGUAGGCGGGCUGUUAAGUCAGCGGUAAAAGCCCGGGGUUCAACCCCGACGAGCCGUUGAAACUGGUUGUCUUGAGAUGGCGAGAGGUAUGCGGAAUGCGCGGUGUAGCGGUGAAAUGCUUAGAUAUUGCGCAGAA